rnacentral:lncRNA from 1 species
UGCCUCUCCCUAGGCUGGAGGUUACUAUGGAAAUUGAGUUUUGAUAAAUGAAGUAGUUAUCUCUAACCACUGCAUUAAAAAGUAAAAGCUUUUGGACAAAGGUCAGUGGCGAAGCAGAGCUCUGUGAGAGUAUGGUUUCAGACAUUGUGUAUGCGUGUUAGGAGGGAGCAGUGCUUGGUUAUCUGAAUGCCUAACACUUCCUAAAACCCGGGUGGUAGCUGUGAGCUUUCCAAGAAUGGCUUUUGAAAGAAAAGGCAUCUCUCAGUUUAUCUGUGAUAGGAGUGAAAUUAUUUGGGCCUGAGGUUGGGUUGGGUUUUUUGUGGGCAGGUAAGCAUGAACAGAAUAAAUCCAAAGAUGAUUCAAACUCCAGUCUAAAACCUCCCAAAUAGAGUUGACAGGUGCCAGAAGAGUCCAUAUAGAAACACUAAAGCAACCUACUAAAAUGUCCUUUUGUAGACUAGUGUUAGGGAAACACUGAACAUGGGGUUUUGAGCUUUGGAUCAAGAGGAGAAACAGAAGUAGUUUAGGAACAUUUGAGCUGUUGUUUCUUCUCUCUCAUCAGAAGUCCUUGAAACUGGAGAUAGGAAAGAGGAAAGGUAUUUUUUGAGGUUAAAGUCCCCAUAAUAAAAGAAGUGUGCAAUUGCAUAUACCGACGUAAUCAAGUGCUUAUUGCAGGCACAUCGUCAGGCUAUAUCUAAAUAGCCUUUCCACCCUGUCAGGGUUUACUGCUCUGAAUGCUUGUACCUGGGAUCCUGGAACUUGACCUGCUGGCAGAGAAAUUUAAUAGUGGGUCGUCUGAACAAUGCCCACACUAAUAAAAAUAAAAAAUAAAAAAAAAGACUACGAUGAAGGAUCCAGGCCUAGUCAGGGUCCCAUGGAGCAACUUUGUCACAUGAUCGUAAAUAUUGUGGCCUUAAAACAUCUAAUGAGUAAGGCCGUGUAAUGCAGUUUAAUGAAGUUGUUUGAUAGUCUUUCAGAUGCCUUGAAGGGGGGGGGGUGUAACAGACUCGCUCAUCUGGCUAAACCCGUUCUUAGGUAAUCAUGGUGCAUGGAGGCUUUCUCCUCAUUUCUGGUUUCUAGACAAUGCCUUUUAAAAUCACCUGUGUGCUGGCUACCAUUGUCUCCGCCCUCCGCUCCUGCCCCCUGAAUGUGCAGGAAGCCAGGAGAGGCUUGUGGCUUGUUUCUUUCUUUCUUUUUUUUUUUUCCUUUCUCCUUCGACUGCCCAGGUAGAUGAAACAGUUUUUUGUUUUUCCUUUCUGAAUAGUACCUCUGACUUAAUAGCUUGUCCUGUUUUUCUUUCUGUCCCAUUUCCUCGCACUUGGAAAACUUGUUAGGGGACUCUUAAAAAAAAAAAAAAAACUACAUGGCAAUAUUGACUGUGUAUUUGAUGAUAUUAAAAGAAAUGUUUUUGUACUGAUUGCAGGUAGAGCGUGAAACACCCCAGCCUUUCUGUAAUUGUAGUAAUUGUAGCUGCUUUUUUAAAAAAAUGUAUACUUACCAUAUGCCACAGUAGAUUUAAGCAUAUAAAAGAACCCUCAUUUGUGUUCUGUUUAAUGACUUAUUCUGGGGAUUUUUAGAUAACUUGAGUUACAGAGGGAGUCUAAGCAAGCCGCCAGUCUACUGCACAACUAACGCAUUCUUCCUGAGCUGAGACAGAAGUGUAAAACAUCAGUCUGCCUUUCGAAUCACAAGUAUAGCAUUCGAGUUUUCUAAGUUUGUGGACUUCAGAUUUCUUUAUAGAGAACAC